CUAACGUUGCAGAGUUGAAGUCAGGCACAGCUUGUGAGAUUAUGGGGAGUUUGGAACCUGUCCUAACACAUCACCAAAAGCACAGAAAUCCUGCAGUUCAACGUGCUGACUGUUGCAGGGCUGUUCUGCCUCUUCGCUGCUCAGCAUCCGAAGCUCUGUCACAUAAAGCAUAGGGUUAAAUGAGCUCCAGUGAAACCAUCCUCCAAAAAACCUGGGAUGCUUCUCAGAGCUUGAUCACUAGCUGAGGUAGAGGUAAACUGUUUCUGCCCUGCCCCCUCUUAAUAGACUUUCUUUUGUUCCCAAAUUAUUUUUUCUCAACUCCUUUGGUUUCACAUCCAAAAUGAUUCAAAGCUUGUUUUUUUCCAGGUGCCUCUUUUGAAAACUGCACACUCAAGCCAUUGUGCACAACAGCUCUGAUUUCAGCCUGCAAAAAGUUUGACAACAAUCUCUGCAGUCUUUAUUUUAUCUUCCUUGUGGCUUGGUUCUUGUUUGGUUUUUAAGGGGUUUUUUUCUGGCAGAAAUUUCUUUGUCACAGUCGGGCUGACAGUGGCCUACAACAUCAUUGUUGAAUUAAAGGACAUAUGGGAUUUGGAGUGGUCUUUUAUACAUUUCUGAAUCCCAAUUAUUUCCCUGUAAGACACUACAGGAUGUCCUGAAGCUGCUGAAAUGAAUCACUCGGGUGAACACUUUUUUCUUCUUUUUUGCUGCCAGUUUGAAAUAGUAAAAAGUCUGGCCAAAUCUGGCCGAAUUCCUCCUAAUAAAAUCUGAAGCAAAACUUCCACGAGUUUGGAGGAAUCGUUCUAUCACAGCAUCCUAUCCCUCUGUGGGGACAGUUUUCUUCCUGAAAAGAUUUUAUGUUAAACUUAUCAGAAAAAGGCACCCACUAAAAUUCAGGGCUGAGACCUCAGCUGUUUUGGAGACGCUGCCGUCCUUCAUUAACUAAUUUGCUGGUUCAUUGAAACCACAGACUUGUGGGGAACAUUGCUGUGCCAGACCUUCUCAAUGGGCUGGUUGUGCAGGUAAGUGCCCGCUGCUGUAAGGGUUGCACAAUCCAGCCCUUCAGCUUCUGUAAGAAUAUCCUUUCGCAGGCUCUGAGACCAGGAGAAGUCCCUGAGAUAUUUUUACUUUGGUGCAGUUCUCUGUAGCAAUGAAGGAGUGUGUGUACAGGAUGUUUACUGGGCAAACACCACGGCUUCAAACUCCUGCAAGCGAAACGGCCUUUAUUGAUUUGCACUGUCUGAGGCAUGCCAGGAGCAAAUACAGAUACAGUAUAGAAUGUGGAUCUUCAAAUGCCAUUUCGGGAUAAAUAUUUACAGGGAUAUGAAUAAGAGGCAAAGAAACAUGCUUGUGGCUGAAAAAUUUCCAAGCUUUAUGUUGUCCCUGUCUUUGCCGAUCUGGUUCAGCCAGGGAUAUAGCAGAGAGCGCCUGGCCGGUCGGCCCUGCCCUGGGGCCCGGAUCCAGAAGUAGGCAGGGAGCAGGCGUAAGGCUGAGAAGGCAGGUCGGUCCUUGUAUCCGCUCUGUGUGUUUUGCUGAAGCCUCAAGAGGAGAGCCAGAUGGUGAUACUCGUUUUGGUGGCAUUGAGAAGCGGACACUAGCUUGCUGGGAAAAGAUCCAAGACCAUCAAUUCAUUUUCAUUUCCCAUGCAGCAGUUAGAUGGUGAGAGUAUCGAUUUAAUCUGAGAGCUAGAAUUGACAAAGCCAUAUCCACGGUUGCUGAUACACAGCUUUGCUUUUCUUGUGACUUAGAGCAUCUGGGAAGUGGCUUUAUGUGUUGUCUUUGAGGAGGGAAAUGGUGAAGGUCUGUGGAGAGACAGCUGCUCUGGCAUUGCCCUCGCUAGGCUGGAUGGAUCCUGGGACGCUACCCUGGUUCUUGUGAUCCCCAGAUGAACUUAAUCUGAGAAGACGUGAAGCUCCGAUUCAAAACCCCACAUCCUAGAGCUGACGUCCUAGGCGACCCUGUCCCACAUUUAACAGCAGUCUGGUUUCUGUCUUUU